AAGUCGUAACAAGGUUUUGUGCGAACAGACAUCCUUCCCGGGUAUCUUUCGGAAGCCUAUGCAACCUGAAAAGGGUCCGCGACUAUAAAUAAACGGAUGCAAGUAGCCUGAGCUGCAACAUGAUCGAAUUGCGGGGACGUCCUAAAGCUUAGUGGUACCAACACCCCGGGGAAACCCAGGGUGGGCCUGUGCUAAUCACACAGGGAGGUAAGAAUCCACUAGGAUGGUACAAUGGAUGAUCCGCAGCGAAGCCCCUGCCGGCGGAAGCCCACGGGGAACGUCCACAGACUAAGUGGUUAUGGGUAGAGUGCGCUCUGCUUAAGAUAUAGUCGGUCUCCCUGGGAAACUAGGGCGAAUCACCGUUCCGUAGGUGAACCUGCGGAAGGAUCAUUACAGAGUUCAUGCCCUCACGGGUAGAUCUCCCACCCUUGUAUAUAUAUCAUUAUCUGUUGCUUUGGCGGGUCGCGAGCCUACCAUGGCCCGGGUUCUGCCCGGUGUGCCCGCCAGAGGACCCCCUAAAUUCUGAAUAUUAGUGUCGUCUGAGUACUAUAAAAUAGUUAAAACUUUCAACAACGGAUCUCUUGGUUCUGGCAUCGAUGAAGAACGCAGCGAAAUGCGAUAAGUAAUGUGANUUGCAGAAUUCAGUGAAUCAUCGAAUCUUUGAACGCAUAUUGCGCCCCUUGGUAUUCCGGGGGGCAUGCCUGUUCGAGCGUCAUUAUAACCAAUCCAGCCUGGCUGGGUGUUGGGUCUCGCUGUAUAGCGGGCCUUAAAAUCAGUGGCGGUGCUCUUAGGNCUCUACGCGUAGUAACUUUCUCGCUAUAGAGCCCUGGGAGGUGCCUGCCAGCAACCCUAANUUUUCUUAGGUUGACCUCGGAUCAGGUAGGGAUACCCGCUGAACUUAAGCAUAUCAAUAAGCGGAGGAAAAGAAACCAACAGGGAUUACCUCAGUAACGGCGAGUGAAGCGGUAACAGCUCAAAUUUGAAAUCUGGCUCUUUCAGGGUCCGAGUUGUAAUUUGUAGAAGAUGCUUUGGGUGUGGCUCCGGUCUAAGUUCCUUGGAACAGGACGUCAUAGAGGGUGAGAAUCCCGUAUGUGACUGGAUGCUUUCGCCCGUGUAAAGCUCUUUCGACGAGUCGAGUUGUUUGGGAAUGCAGCUCAAAAUGGGUGGUAAAUUUCAUCUAAAGCUAAAUAUUGGCCAGAGACCGAUAGCGCACAAGUAGAGUGAUCGAAAGAUGAAAAGCACUUUGGAAAGAGAGUUAAACAGUACGUGAAAUUGUUGAAAGGGAAGCGCUUGCAACCAGACUCGCAUGCCGUCGAUCCUCCUGGGUUCUCCCUGGUGCACUCGGCGGUAUUCGGGCCAGCAUCGGUUUGGGUGGUGGGAUAAAGGCCUUUGGGAAUGUAGCUCCUCUUUCGGGGAGUGUUAUAGCCCUCGGUGCAAUGCUGCCUACCUGGACCGAGGACCGCGCUUCGGCUAGGAUGCUGGCGUAAUGGUUGUAAGCGACC
rnacentral:rRNA from 1 species